UACGAAGGGUGCGAGCGUUGUUCGGAAUUACUGGGCGUAAAGGGUUUGUAGGCUGAAAUGUAAGUCAAGUGUGAAAUCCCCGAGCUAAACUUGGGACGUGCAUUUGAAACUGUGUUUCUUGAGUAUCGUAGAGGGUGGUGGAAUUGUAGGUGUAGGAGUGACAUCCGUAGAGAUCUGCAGGAACAUCAGAGGCGAAGGCGACCACCUGGCCGAUUACUGACGCUGAGGAACGAAAGCGUGGGGAGCAAACAGG
rnacentral:rRNA from 2 species